AUGUACACCAUCCGUGUCCAGAUGGCGCUCCGCAUCAAGGGCCUGAGCUACGACUACCUCCCCGAGGACCCAUGGAGGAAGAGCGAGCUCCUCCUUGCGUCCAACCCCGUGCACAAGAAGCUGCCCGUCCUCAUCCACGCCGGCAGGCCCGUCUGUGAGUCGCUCAUCAUUGUGCAGUACCUUGACGAUGCCUUCGCCGGCAACAGCACCUCCAUCCUCCCCACUGACCCCUACAGCCGCGCCGUCGCCCGCUUUUGGGCUUCCUACAUCGACGACAAGGUUUGUUUCCUAUCGUUUGGUUUGAGCUUGGAGAGUCGGAGUUGCAUCUGUUGGUGCUGCCUCCUCGCAGCGCCUCUUCUUCCUUAUUAG
rnacentral:rRNA from 1 species